AACGAACGCUGGCGGCAUGCCUAACACAUGCAAGUCGAACGAUGCCUUCGGGCAUAGUGGCGCACGGGUGCGUAACGCGUGGGAAUCUGCCUUUCGGUUCGGAAUAACUCAGGGAAACUUGAGCUAAUACCGGAUAACGUCGCAAGACCAAAGAUUUAUCACCGAAAGAUGAGCCCGCGUAGGAUUAGCUAGUUGGUGAGGUAAAGGCUCACCAAGGCGACGAUCCUUAGCUGGUCUGAGAGGAUGAUCAGCCACACUGGGACUGAGACACGGCCCAGACUCCUACGGGAGGCAGCAGUGGGGAAUAUUGGAAAAUGGGCGAAAGCCUGAUCCAGCAAUGCCGCGUGAGUGAUGAAGGCCUUAGGGUUGUAAAGCUCUUUUACCCGGGAAGAUAAUGACGGUACCGGGAGAAUAAGCCCCGGCUAACUCCGUG
rnacentral:rRNA from 1 species